GCGCACCUGUAGUCUCAGCUACUCAGGGUGCUGAGGCAGGAGGAUUCUUGAGCCCUGGAGUCCUAGGCUGCGGUGUGUAAUGUCCAUCAGGUGUCUGCACUAAAUUGAGCAUCAAUAUGGUGACCUCUCAGGAGGGAGGGGGGGCUACCAGGUUGCCCAAGGAGGGAUGAACCAGCUGGUUGGAAAUGGAGCAUCUCAAAACUCCAGUGAUGAUCAGUAAUGAGACUGCACCUGAGAACAGCCACUAUGGUCCAGCCUGGGCAACACAGAGAGACCCCAUCUCUUAAAAAAAUGCUUUAAAGACAAAAGCAAAAAAGCAACAGAAACCAUCUUAUCCUGGAGCUUAUUUCUCACAUUCGCUUUGUCCUCCUCCCAGUGGACAGUCAUUUAUAAAACUCAGUUCAAUGAGGUUUCCAACUAAUUGAGGUUUUACUGAAUAUCCUAUCCGGUGCGUUGAUUAAGGACCUCUCUGUGCUUAUUGCCAUGGGGAGUUGGGAGGUAGAAAAGUGAAUGAGACAAGGGCUGUACCCUCCAGGUGCUGACAAAUCCAGAGGGGAGAGAGACAGACACACAAUCACUUAUAACCCAGGCCAGAAUGAAGAAGCAAGGUAAACGGAGAUGACAGCCUUGUGCUUGGGGCCAGGAGGGUUCAUUACAUCAACUCUUGCUCGGUCCAAUUUAUCACCACCACUAUUACUAAUCUAAUAAAAAUAAUAAUUUCGAGUAGUCCUGCCUUCUUUGAUAUCAAAGGGUUUUUUUCUACUGUCAAAAUUAAUGAUAAAAGAAAACAACUUGUUGGAAUUAAAAACAGUUGGGCUUGCUGAUGGUUGAGAGAGGGGUGGGCUCUUCCUGGAAGGAUGGGGAGGACUUGUGAGUAUUUCUUUGAGGACCCAGUCUCCCAUCUUCAACCUCCUCCAGCACAGCAUCAUGGCGUAUACAACAAUCAAAGGCUCAUUAGGCCUGUUUCUAUCAUCUUUGCCAUGUAAUGCUUAACAUCUGGGAGAGAAAAUGUCCUGAAGCUUUUCAAAAUAAAUGAAGACAUGCAUUCCAGGUUUGUGGCAAGAGUCUCAGAUGAGCCUGGUCACUUCCCACAUUACUGAGGUCCGUACCAGCCAAGGUGCUCUGUGCCACCCACAGAAGUUUCUUGAGGGGGGGAUUUCCCAGGGAAUGAUUUGACGCUCCAUGGUUGCUGGAGUUCAAGGGCUAUUUGACGUAGCGGUGAGCUAGUAUUUUCCAACCCCAUUCUCUGUUGUAUUCCAUUAGCCCUGGAUGAGUUCAGGUGAGAGACGCCUUCAUUUCACCAUUGGCUGGAAUCCCUCAGUGAUGUUCAGCUGGCAACUGGCUGGUCUGUAGGAGACAAGAUGGUUCACCCACAUCUCUGGCACCUUGGUGGUAUGGUUGGAAGGCUGGGUCCACCAGACCCAUUCCCCUUUCCAUGUGGUUUCAGGGCCUCUCCACAUGGUCUCUUGAGCUGAUUAGCUAGACUUCUUACAUGGAGGCUCAAG
rnacentral:lncRNA from 10 species